rnacentral:rRNA from 1 species
GACGAACGCUGGCGGCGUGCUUAACACAUGCAAGUCGAACGAUGAACCGGAGCUUGCUCUGGGGAUUAGUGGCGAACGGGUGAGUAACACGUGGGCAACCUGCCCCAGACACCGGGAUAACCAUUGGAAACGAUGGCUAAUACCGGAUACGACCACUUCGGGCAUCCGAUGGUGGUGGAAAGGAUUCUGGUCUGGGAUGGGCCCGCGGCCUAUCAGCUUGUUGGUGGGGUAAUGGCCUACCAAGGCGACGACGGGUAGCCGGCCUGAGAGGGCGACCGGCCACACUGGGACUGAGACACGGCCCAGACUCCUACAGGAGGCAGCAGUGGGGAAUAUUGCGCAAUGGGCGAAAGCCUGACGCAGCGACGCCGCGGGAGGGACGAAGGUCUUCGGAUUGUAAACCUCUUUCAGCAGGGAUGAAGCGAAAGUGACAGUACCUGCAGAAGAAGCACCGGCUAACUACGUGCCAGCCGCCGCAGUAAAAC